GACGAACGCUGGCGGCGUGCUUAACACAUGCAAGUCGAACGGAAAGGCCCUGCUUUUGUGGGGUGCUCGAGUGGCGAACGGGUGAGUAACACGUGAGUAACCUGCCCUUGACUUUGGGAUAACUUCAGGAAACUGGGGCUAAUACCGGAUAGGAGCUCCUGCUGCAUGGUGGGGGUUGGAAAGUUUCGGCGGUUGGGGAUGGACUCGCGGCUUAUCAGCUUGUUGGUGGGGUAGUGGCUUACCAAGGCUUUGACGGGUAGCCGGCCUGAGAGGGUGACCGGCCACGUGGGAAUGGAGAGACGCCCAGGACCCCGCGGGGGGGAAGCGGGGGGGAAUAUUGCACAAUGGGAGGAGGCCGGAUGCAGCAACCCGGGGGGGGGAAGGCCGGCCUUGGGGUUGAAAACCGUUUCCGCCGGGGACGAAGGGUGAGGGAGGGAAAGGGUAAAAGAACCACCGCCAAACGACG
rnacentral:rRNA from 1 species